AUUUAAAAUGGUGGGUGAUGUGGGAAGGUAUCCCAACAUGAUCAUGCAGUGGCAUAAUCAUGGCUCACUGCAGCCUUGUCCUCCUGGGCUCAAGACAUCCUCCCGCCUCAGCCUCCAGUGUAGCUGAAACUAUAGGCAUGUGUUACCACACCCAGCUAAUUUUUGAUUUUUUGUGGAGACAGGAUCUCGCUGUGUUGCCCGGGCUGGUCUCAAACUUCUGGACACAAACAAUCCUCCACAUUGGCCUCCCAAAAUGCUGGAAUUACAGGUGUGAGCCACUGGACCAGCAGGACUCUAAAUUUUGGUGCUCAAAAAACAUUUGUUGAGUAAGUGAACCUGAGACUAUCAACAAGCAUUAUUUUAAAAUCACUAGCAAAGGGUCAGAUGAAAGUGAGAUCCAUACAUCCUUCUUCAGCAACUUGUGCCUCUGCUCUGCACCUCCCGCAAUUAACUACUGAAAAAAGAACACAGCUUCACAAAAGAGAUUGUAAAAUCAGGAAGUAUAUCUAAGUCACCUCCAGUAGCCGUAACUCUACCUUGUCCAGUAAAAGUGCUGCUUGUUGCUGACGUUUCUGCCCAAACAUCAUGAAAUGUGGAGAAGAAAGAACACUCAGAUGUGCCCUGGAGACUUUCCUUUUAUUUUUAAACAGACAUACUUGCAACCAGAGUCAUCAAUUUUGAAGACAGCAACCAAGCCAAGCAAUGUGAGGUUACAGCUAUGAAAUAGAACAGAGAUGUCUAGACUAUAGACACAGCCUGCCGUUUUGUGCUGAUUGGUAAAGUGUUCCAGCCAACUGGAAGCAAAUAUUUCUCAGAAGCAGUUUCCUGCUCUCAUCCUCUCCUCGCCAUGCCCACUGUGCCCAACAUGGCUCCAGCUGGGUCACAGAAGACUUUGUCCUGGAAUACAGCAUUUCCCUAUUUAAAUCUCUAACUUUGUAUGUACUCUUUUCAAUAAAAGCAUAUUUUUCAUUACCAUUCUGACCAUACUCCCUUCUCUGCUGGCUCCACAGCUAAGGUUUCUGCACCUGUUCCAUAACUUCUGGGAUCUGUCUCUGUUGCUGCACGUAUGCAUUCCAUAAGCAUUAAUAGAUCCAUUCACUCUUCUGAAAUCUGGGCAGCUUAAAUCAUAUUACAUCUAACGUAUUUUUACUAGAGUCAGUUCUACCCCCCGACUCUUGAGUGCACACACAGGCACUUCUCUGUAAGUUCCUUGAGGUCAGAAAUAGUCCCCUAGUCAGCCUUCUGCCUUCUGUAGUUCCUGGUCCAUCAAGGUGCAGAGUACAUAUUCCACAGAUAAAUAGAUAACUCUCAUUCAAUGCUCUGAUCUUUCCUUUAUCUUGUUUCCCUGGAUAUUCCUCUUUCACGGCUCUUUUCUAUUUAAUUU
rnacentral:lncRNA from 1 species